UACGUAGGCAGCAAGCGUUGUUCGGAGUUACUGGGCGUAAAGGGUGUGUAGGCGGUUCUCUAAGUCUGGUGUGAAAUCUCCCGGCUCAACUGGGAGGGUGCGCCGAAAACUGGAGGACUAGAGUGCGGGAUGGGAGAGUGGAAUUCCUGGUGUAGCGGUGAAAUGCGUAGAUAUCAGGAGGAACACCUGCGGUGUAGACGGCUUUCUGGACCAUUGUUGACGCUGAGACACGAAAGCGUGGGUAGCAAACAGG
rnacentral:rRNA from 1 species